AUUGAACGCUGGCGGCAGGCUUAACACAUGCAAGUCGAGCGGAGAUGAGGUGCUUGCACCUUAUCUUAGCGGCGGACGGGUGAGUAAUGCUUAGGAAUCUGCCUAUUAGUGGGGGACAACAUUCCGAAAGGAAUGCUAAUACCGCAUACGCCCUACGGGGGAAAGAAGGGGAGCUUCGGACCUUGCGCUAAUAGAUGAGCCUAAGUCGGAUUAGCUAGUUGGUGGGGUAAAGGCCUACCAAGGCGACGAUCUGAAGCGGGUCUGAGAGGAUGAUCCGCCACACUGGGACUGAGACACGGCCCAGACUCCUACGGGAGGCAGCAGUGGGGAAUAUUGGACAAUGGGCGGAAGCCUGAUCCAGCCAUGCCGCGUGUGUGAAGAAGGCCUUUUGGUUGUAAAGCACUUUAAGCGAGGAGGAGGCUACCUGGAUUAAUACUCUAGGAUAGUGGACGUUACUCGCAGAAUAAGCACCGGCUAACUCUGUGCCAGCCGCCGCCGUAAAAC
rnacentral:rRNA from 1 species